UGGGGAAUAUUGGACAAUGGGCGCAAGCCUGAUCCAGCCAUGCCGCGUGAGUGAUGAAGGCCCUAGGGUUGUAAAGCUCUUUCACCGGUGAAGAUAAUGACGGUAACCGGAGAAGAAGCCCCGGCUAACUUCGUGCCAGCAGCCGCGGUAAUACGAAGGGGGCUAGCGUUGUUCGGAUUUACUGGGCGUAAAGCGCACGUAGGCGGACUUUUAAGUCAGGGGUGAAAUCCCGGGGCUCAACCCCGGAACUGCCUUGGAUACUGGAAGUCUUGAGUAUGGUAGUGGUGAGUGGAAUUCCGGGUGUAGAGGUGACAUUCGUAGAUAUUCGAAGGAACACCAGUGGCGAAGGCGGCUCACUGGACCAUUACUGACGCUGAGGUGCGAAAGCGUGGGGAGCAAACAGG
rnacentral:rRNA from 1 species